UGCAGUUUGUAAGCAGAAAGGACUCCACAAGCUCACUACCAAAAGCAAAAGCAACUUUGUAUUUUUGGUCCUCUGUCCUACCUGAGGUUAAACCCUGUCCUUCACCUUGCAUGAUGCAGAUGGCGUGUGUAGCUAAACAGAGCAAAGUACAGUGAAAAUGGAAAAGUGCACAGUUGCUGUGGAUACCCAUCCUCAUCAUUGCCCAGCACUUCUAGUUUAGUGGGAGGUGCCUGUUUUUGUUUUUAAAUAGUUGUUCUUUGGAGUGAGUGAGGGAAACUUCGCUGGGCUUAAGGGAGCACCUUCUCUCCUGAGGGUCCCCACUCAUGCAGCUGCUGCUGAGGCUGCUGCCGUUUGUGCAACAGGAACCCCAGCAGCUCUCACACCCCAGGCUCAUUGUUACCUGGAUAAGUCACAAACAAAGGUUUUGCAAGUUUUCCUUUUCCGAGUGUAAUUAUAAUGGAUACACUUAUUAUGGAAAUGGGAUUCGCAGUUUGGGGUUUAACGCAAAGAUUUGAUAAACGAAGGGACAAUUCCUCGGAUAACAUACUUUUACCAUGCUAUUUUUUAUAUUUUCAUGCCCUAUCACUUUCGGAUUAAACUUUUUUGCGAGAAUAUUUGGAUUUACAAAAUUGUUAUUUUUGGGGAGUUUUGAAGAACAUCAAUAACAAUUAAUGGAAUUAAUGAAAGACCAUAUCGUCACAUCUAUGAUACAAC